rnacentral:rRNA from 1 species
UACGUAGGUGGCAAGCGUUGUCCGGAAUCACUGGGCGUAAAGCGCGCGCAGGCGGCGAUCUACGUCUGGGGUGAAAGCCCGGGGCUCAACCUCGGGACUGCCUUGGAUACGGGAUCGCUUGAGAAUCGGAGAGGUAAGGGGAAUUCCACGUGUAGCGGUGAAAUGCGUAGAUAUGUGGAGGAACACCAGUGGCGAAGGCGCCUUACUGGCCGAUUUCUGACGCUGAGGCGCGAAAGCGUGGGGAGCAAAGCGG